rfam:Penicillium brasilianum genome assembly, contig: SCAF14
GGUAAGAUGGCCGAGUUGGUCUAAGGCGUCAGGUUAAGGUCCACCUUAGCAUAAAUUCCUGAUCUCGUUUACGGGGCGUGAGUUCGAAUCUCACUCUUAUCA